AUGCCAACCUUUCAAGAAGCUGCAGAAAAAAGAGAACUCAUUGAGGCAGAUAGCACAUUGGAUGACUGCAUGACAGAAGCGGAGUUGUUUAGAAUGCCAUCAUCACUACGAAGGCUAUUCGCGACGAUCUUGGUUUUUUGCGAGCCUAGCGACGUACGCAGCCUCUGGAACAAACACCUUGAGGCAAUGUCAGAGGACUACAGCAGAAAUUGCAAAUGCAAACACACAGUCGAACAGAUGGUUCUAAAAAAUAUCAGAGACAUGUUGCACUCCAUGGGAAAAGACAUAGAAUCAUUUCCUCUUCCAAAAAUCGACAAACAGGAUGAGACGACAGACAACAUACCGAGGGAGAUCACCGAGGAGACCUCCAUUGAGGUGGACCCCGAGGACACAACAUUGCAUAAAAACCUAAACUACGAGCAGAAGAAGGCAUACGACGAAAUCCUAGCGACAAUUGAUAGCCAAAAAGGAGGUAUAUUCUUUGUGGAUGGACCUGGAGGCACAGGAAAAACUUUUCUUUAUAGGGCGCUCUUGGCAACAAUACGCGGACAAGGCAAGAUUGCUGUGGCAACCGCCACUUCUGGUGUGGCUGCUUCCAUAAUGCCCGGAGGGAGAACCGCGCACUCGAGGUUCAAGAUUCCACUUAAAAUAGAUGAUGGGGAUAUUUGUGGCUUCACAAAACAAAGUGGAACAUCCAAGCUACUCCAAGCAGCAUGA
rnacentral:rRNA from 1 species